UUGAACGCUGGCGGCAGGCCUAACACAUGCAAGUCGCGCGGAUGAAGGGAGCUUGCUCCUGGAUUCAGCGGCGGACGGGUGAGUAAUGCCUAGGAAUCUGCCUGGUAGUGGGGGAUAACGUCCGGAAACGGGCGCUAAUACCGCAUACGUCCUGAGGGAGAAAGUGGGGGAUCUUCGGACCUCACGCUAUCAGAUGAGCCUAGGUCGGAUUAGCUAGUUGGUGGGGUAAAGGCCUACCAAGGCGACGAUCCGUAACUGGUCUGAGAGGAUGAUCAGUCACACUGGAACUGAGACACGGUCCAGACUCCUACGGGAGGCAGCAGUGGGGAAUAUUGGACAAUGGGCGAAAGCCUGAUCCAGCCAUGCCGCGUGUGUGAAGAAGGUCUUCGGAUUGUAAAGCACUUUAAGUUGGGAGGAAGGGCAGUAAGUUAGUACCUUGCUGUUUUGACGUUACCAACAGAAUAAGCACCGGCUAACUUCGUG
rnacentral:rRNA from 1 species